rnacentral:misc_RNA from 1 species
GCAAACUUGGUCAUUUAGAGGAAGUAAAAGUCGUAACAAGGUUUCCGUAGGUGAACCUGCGGAAGGAUCAUUAUAGAGUGUAACCCCCCCGUAAAAAAGGGGGGUACCCUCCCGUCCUUUGCAGGCCUUUAGGGGCUUUUUAGACUUUCUGCUUCGGUGGGGUAAACCCACCGGAACACCCUCAAAAUUCUUAUGAAAUUGUUCAGUCCGAGAAAAUUUAAAAAAAGUGAAAAACUUUCAACAACGGAUCUCUUGGUUCUGGCAUCGAUGAAGAACGCAGC